GAAGGUUUUUCUAAUAUGGCACACUGCAAGUGGCUGGAUGUGAUUGGUGGGACGAAACGAGCUGAAUGAGGUAUUGCCGGUAUAACAAAGGGAUGAUUUAGUAGCAGACGGUAUGUUUUUUUCUCUUGAAUUGCAAUAUGUACAUGUGUUGGACUGUCUUUGUUCUGGUUUGUGCAGGUUUGUGAAUUGAGGACAUAACACGGUUUGGCAAGCUUGAAGAUGGGACUGUUUUUAUGGCUUUUAUCUUGGACAGAUUUCGACGAGGUUGCGAGUAGAAGUUUGAAGACUUAUAUGGAAACAUGAAGGUUUUAGGAGUGGACUUAGGAUAUUUGCAUGUAUGACUGCUAGAAUGUAAUGUGGUUGAAUUGUUUGAAUGCAUGUUAGAACAAUUUGUUAGUGAACUGUCAAAACCAUUUUGCUGUAUGUAUUUUUGGACAGUAUGGGAUAUUUGUGAAUGUUAGAAAAAUGGUUGUAGGUAGUGUUAGUUAUGAAAUUAUUUGAUGAAUGUAUGUAUUGAAUGAAGUGUUGUUGCGACUCGCUUGCUG